rnacentral:rRNA from 1 species
GAUGAACGCUAGCUACAGGCUUAACACAUGCAAGUCGAGGGGCAGCAUGACGAGUGCUUGCACUUGUUGAUGGCGACCGGCGCACGGGUGCGUAACGCGUAUCCAACCUGCCGUGUACUCCGGGACAGCCCUCUGAAAGGAGGAUUAAUACCGGAUGUGGUUGCGACGAGACAUCUUGUUGCAAUUAAAGAUUCAUCGGUACACCGAUGGGGAUGCGUACGAUUAGCUUGUCGGCGGGGUAACGGCCCACCGAGGCGACGAUCGUUAGGGGUUCUGAGAGGAAGGUCCCCCACAUAGGAACUGAGACACGGUCCUAACUCC